UACGAAGGGGGCUAGCGUUGCUCGGAAUCACUGGGCGUAAAGCGCACGUAGGCGGAUUGUUAAGUCAGGGGUGAAAUCCUGGAGCUCAACUCCAGAACGUGCCUUUGAUACUGGCGAUCUCGAGUCCGGGAGAGGUGAGGUGGAACUGCGAGUGUAGAGGUGAAAUUCGUAGAUAUUCGCAAGAACACCAGUGGCGAAGGC
rnacentral:rRNA from 1 species